UACGUAGGGUGCAAGCGUUGUCCGGAAUUAUUGGGCGUAAAGAGCUCGUAGGCGGUUUUGUCGCGUCGAAUGUGAAAAACCCGGGGGCUCAACUCCGGGCCUGCAUUCGAUACGGGCAGACUAGAGUUUCGGUAGGGGGAGACUGGAAUUCCUUGGUGUAGCGGUGAAAAUGCGCAGAUAUCAGGAGGAACACCGGUGGCGAAGGCGGGGUCUCUGGGCCGAUA
rnacentral:rRNA from 1 species